rnacentral:rRNA from 1 species
CUUGGUCAUUUAGAGGAAGUAAAAGUCGUAACAAGGUUUCCGUAGGUGAACCUGCGGAAGGAUCAUUAAAAGUAAUAUGUAUUCUCUCGAAUAUACAUUAUAAACCCAUCUGUGUAUCUUACCCGUUGCUUCCGCGAGGCAGUGAUCUCGGUCACCUCCGAACGACGGCGAAAGCUGUCCGACGGGGAGCACUCGCGGGAGGUAUACAUCAAACUCUUGCAUUUUUAUGUCAUCUGUCUGAACUGUUUAUAACAAAUGUUAAAACUUUCAACAACGGAUCUCUUGGUUCUCGCAUCGAUGAAGAACGCAGCGAAAUGCGAUAAGUAGUGUGAAUUGCAGAAUUCAGUGAAUCAUCGAAUCUUUGAACGCACAUUGCGCCUCCUGGUAUUCCGGGAGGCAUGCCUGUUCGAGUGUCAUGAAGCUAUCAACUCACUUCUUUUGUUAGAAGUGCAGCUUGGAAUUGGAGCCUUGUCGGCGUUUCGUUACGUCGACUGCUCUGAAAUGCAUUAGCUCAAUUUACUAAGGCUGCUUCAGUGUAGUAAUCUCUUCACUGUCACGCAUCUCUCAGUUAAAAGGAGCUCAUAAAGCACCCCUUCAUUUCAACUUUCGACCUCGAAUCAGGUAGGACUGCCCGCUGAACUUAAGCAUAUCAAUAAGCGGAGGA